AGUGAACGCUGGCGGUAGGCCUAACACAUGCAAGUCGAACGGCAGCACAGUAAGAGCUUGCUCUUACGGGUGGCGAGUGGCGGACGGGUGAGGAAUACAUCGGAAUCUACUUUUUCGUGGGGGAUAACGUAGGGAAACUUACGCUAAUACCGCAUACGACCUACGGGUGAAAGCAGGGGAUCUUCGGACCUUGCGCGAUUGAAUGAGCCGAUGUCGGAUUAGCUAGUUGGCGGGGUAAAGGCCCACCAAGGCGACGAUCGGUAGCUGGGCUGGGGGGAUGAUCAGCCACACUGGAACUGAGACACGGCCCAGACUCCUACGGGAGGCAGCAGUGGGGAAGAUUGGACAAUGGGCGCAAGCCUGAUCCAGCCAUACCGCGUGGGUGAAGAAGGCCUUCGGGUUGUAAAGCCCUUUUGUUGGGAAAGAAAAGCAGCAGGUUAAUACCCCGCUGUUCUGACGGUACCCAAAGAAUAAGCACCGGCUAACUUCGU
rnacentral:rRNA from 1 species